rnacentral:rRNA from 1 species
UACGAAGGGUGCUAGCGUUGCUCGGAAUCACUGGGCGUAAAGCGCACGUAGGCGGUUUGCUAAGUCAGGGGUGAAACCCUGGAGCUCAACUCCAGAACUGCCUUUGAUACUGGCGAUCUCGAGUCCGGAAGAGGUGAGUGGAACUGCGAGUGUAGAGGUGAAAUUCGUAGAUAUUCGCAAGAACACCAGUGGCGAAGGCGGCUCACUGGCCCGGUACUGACGCUGAGGUGCGAAAGCGUGGGGAGCAAACAGG